rnacentral:misc_RNA from 1 species
AAUGAACGUAAAACUCCAUGUGUGUAUGAAGCUGUUUCUAGCAUGCACCGCUUCACUACGUGUUAUUGAGCUGAUAAUAGAGAGGUGGAUAACAUAUUAUGACGAAUCAAUUGGUGAAGGUGAAGAGAGAUGUGAUUGCGGCAUGCAUGACAUGCCCUCUUUGUCAUAAUCUCUUCAGAGAUGCAACUACUAUUUCCGAAUGUCUUCAUACGUUUUGCAGGAAAUGCAUCUACAAGAAGCUGUCCAAUGAAGAAACGGAACACUGUCCA